rnacentral:pre_miRNA from 1 species
AAUAAGAUCAUUUUUCAGUUUUUUGAUAUAAUGAUUUGACUCUUCAUCUUAUUUGAAAUUCUUUUACGAUUAAUAUUUAUAUUCUUACUGGUUGAUAAAACAUGAAUAAUACUUUAUGCGUGACUAAUUUUUUUAAGUUUCUGUAUAAAUUUUUUAAAUAAGAUAAAUGGUCAAAUGUUAGACACAAAAAAACA